AGUUGACAUUGACCAGACUGAAGAUGUUACCUUCACGUAUGGCACAUCACCUGACGUUCCAUAUUUCCAUGUUAUUGAACUGGAGGAAAGCAAAUAGAAAGGUUUCAGAAGUAAUGGUAUUCAGAAAUUCAACGAUGCCAAAGGAAGUAUGUAGACCGCAGUAUAUGAAAGUUAUGUGCGAUGAAGAAUUGGUUAUCGUGAAAGUGUUUGCUC
rnacentral:lncRNA from 1 species